rnacentral:rRNA from 1 species
GACGAACGCUGGCGGCGUGCCUAAUACAUGCAAGUAGAACGCUGAAGGAGGAGCUUGCUCUUCUGGAUGAGUUGCGAACGGGUGAGUAACGCGUAGGUAACCUGCCUGGUAGCGGGGGAUAACUAUUGGAAACGAUAGCUAAUACCGCAUAACAGUAGAUGUUGCAUGACAUUUGCUUAAAAGGUGCAAUUGCAUCACUACCAGAUGGACCUGCGUUGUAUUAGCUAGUUGGUGGGGUAACGGCUCACCAAGGCGACGAUACAUAGCCGACCUGAGAGGGGGAUCGGCCACACUGGGACUGAGACACGGCCCAGACUCCUACGGGAGGCAGCAGUAGGGAAUCUUCGGCAAUGGACGGAAGUCUGACCGAGCAACGCCGCGUGAGUGAAGAAGGUUUUCGGAUCGUAAAGCUCUGUUGUAAGAGAAGAACGAGUGUGAGAGUGGAAAGUUCACACUGUGACGGUAGCUUACCAGAAAGGGACGGCUAACUACGUG